rnacentral:rRNA from 1 species
AUUGAACACUGGCGGCAGGCCUAACACAUGCAAGUCGAACGCGUGGCGGACGGGGGAGAACUGUUGGGGCAACUGCCUGAGGGAGGGGGAUAACUACUGAAAACGGUCGAUAAUACCGCCAACCACCGUAUGUGCCGAGAUGGGAUUAGCUAGUAGGUGGGGUAAAGGCGCACCUAGGCGACGAUCCAUAGCUGGUCUGAGAGGAUGCACAGCCACACUGGAACUGAGCCACGGUCCAGACUCCUACGGGAGGCAGCAGUGGGGAAUAUUGCACAAUGGGCGCAAGCCUGAUGCAGCCAUGCCGCGUGUAUGAAGAAGGCCUUCGGGUUGUAAAGUACUUUCAGCGGGGAGGCGUUACCCGCAGAAGAAGCACCGGCUAACUCCGUGCCAGCAGCCGCGGUAAUUC